AUGGUGACGGCACCUUCGUCCACCGCCACCUGCGCCACAUCCCUCCACUUUCCCCACCCGUCUCCUCCCUGUAGUAUCAGCAGUGCCGUCGGCCACGUCCAGUUUUUCCGCCGGCGCUGUCGCGGGCUGCAGAGGCGGGGAGGCGGCGAGGCAGCGCGCGCGGGGCUGGGGGGAUUGCUGGGCGGCAUGUUCGGCGGCGGCGGCGGCGACGACGGUGAGGCAGCGAAGAGGAGGUACAAGGACACUGUCGCGCUCGUCAACAGGCUGGAGCCCGAGGUCUCCGCGCUCUCGGACGCUGACCUCCGCGCCCGCACCUCCGCGCUGCAAGAGCGCGCGCGCGCCGGGGAAUCCCUCGGCUCUCUCCUCCCCGAAGCAUUUGCUGUUGUGAGGGAGGCUUCCAAUAGAGUUCUUCGUCUUCGCCCCUUUGAUGUACAGUUGAUUGGUGGGAUGAUUCUGCAUAAGGGGGAGAUUGCAGAAAUGAAGACUGGAGAGGGGAAGACACUCGUGGCUAUCCUGCCAGCGUACUUAAAUGCAUUAAGUGGUAAAGGAGUCCAUGUUGUCACAGUAAAUGAUUAUCUUGCCAGACGUGACUGUGAGUGGGUUGGUCAAGUUCCCCGCUUUCUGGGACUGCAGGUUGGACUAAUUCAACAGAACAUGACACCGGAGCAAAGGAGGGAAAAUUACUUGUGCGAUAUUACUUAUGUCACAAAUAGUGAGCUUGGAUUUGAUUAUCUAAGAGAUAACCUUGCGAUGACUGUAGAUGAGCUUGUCUUGAGGAACUUUAAUUACUGUGUGAUAGAUGAAGUUGAUUCAAUCCUUAUUGAUGAAGCACGGACACCUCUUAUAAUAUCAGGCCUGGCUGAAAAGCCAAGUGACCGGUAUUACAAAGCAGCAAAAAUAGCUGAAGCUUUUGAACAAGAUAUUCAUUAUACUGUUGAUGAAAAGCAAAGAAAUGUUUUACUAACAGAACAAGGCUACGCUGACGCUGAAGAAAUACUGGACAUAGAUGAUUUAUAUGAUCCUCGUGAACAAUGGGCUUCAUAUGUUUUAAAUGCAAUCAAAGCCAAGGAGCUCUUCCUUAGAGAUGUGAAUUAUAUUGUUCGUAGCAAGGAGGUGCUUAUUGUGGAUGAGUUCACAGGUCGAGUUAUGGCAGGCAGAAGAUGGAGUGAUGGACUCCACCAAGCAAUUGAGGCAAAAGAAGGUGUGCAGAUACAGAAUGAAACCAUAACCCUCGCAUCUAUAAGUUACCAGAACUUCUUUCUUCAGUUUCCGAAACUCUGUGGCAUGACUGGAACUGCAGCUACAGAAAGACAGGAGUUCGAGAGCAUAUACAAACUAAAAGUUACAGUUGUUCCAACGAAUAAGCCUAUGAUAAGGAAGGACGAUUCAGAUGUUGUUUUCAGAGCAACAAGUGGAAAAUGGCGUGCUGCUGUUGUGGAGAUAUCAAGAAUGAAUAAAGCUUGCCGUCCUGUGCUUGUUGGUACAACUAGUGUUGAGCAAAGUGAAACUUUGUCAGAACAACUACGUGAAGCAGGGAUUCCUCACGAGGUCCUUAAUGCUAAACCAGAGAAUGUGGAGAGGGAGGCAGAGAUUGUAGCUCAGAGUGGACGCCUUGGUGCAGUGACAAUUGCCACCAAUAUGGCAGGACGUGGCACUGAUAUUAUCCUUGGAGGCAAUGCGGAAUUCAUGGCCAGGCUGAAGUUGCGUGAGAUGCUUAUGCCAAGAAUUGUCAAUCCAGUUGAUGGUGUCAUUGUGUCCAAAAAGCAGCUUCCACCAAGAAAGACAUGGAAGACAAAUGAAAGCUUGUUCCCUUGUGAACUUUCAGAAGAUACACUAUCAUGUAUCAAAGAUGCAGUUGAAGUGGCUGUCAAAGAAUGGGGAGAAAAGUCAUUACCUGAGCUAGAAGCUGAAGAGCGUCUCUCCUACUCAUGUGAGAAGGGACCGACACGUGAUGAGGUAAUUGCAACUCUGAGAACCGCAUUCAUGAAGAUAGCAGAUGAAUUUAAGAUUUACACAGAGGAAGAAAAGAAGAAGGUCAUUGCGACAGGUGGGCUUCAUGUAGUAGGAACUGAACGACAUGAGUCCCGCAGAAUUGACAAUCAGCUUCGUGGCCGAAGUGGCAGGCAAGGGGAUCCUGGGAGCUCUCGCUUCUUUCUUAGUCUUGAGGAUAACAUCUUCCGAAUCUUCGGAGGUGACCGGAUACAGGGUCUGAUGCAAGCUUUCAGAGUUGAAGAUCUUCCUAUUGAAUCAAAGAUGCUAACAAGGGCCCUAGAUGAAGCUCAACGGAAAGUUGAGAACUACUUUUUUGAUAUCAGGAAGCAGCUAUUCGAGUAUGAUGAGGUAUUAAAUAGCCAGCGGGAUAGGGUAUAUGCAGAAAGAAGACGUGCCCUAGCAUCUGGUAGCCUGGAGUCACUUAUUGUGGAGUAUGCUGAAUUAACAAUGGAAGACAUAUUAGAGGCAAACAUAGGUCCUGGUACCCCAAGGGAAAGUUGGGAUCUUGGCAAGCUGAUAGCUAAAGUUCAACAGUAUUGUUACCUAUUAAAUGACUUGACACCCGAACUGUUGGAGAGUAAAUGCUCAAGCUACGAGGAUUUACAAGAGUACCUUCGAACCCGAGGGCGUGAAGCAUACUUCCAAAAAGCUGAAAUUGUGGAGAAGCAAGCUCCAGGCUUGAUGAAGGAAGCCGAGCGAUUCCUAAUCCUAAGCAAUAUUGAUAAGCUCUGGAAAGAACACUUGCAAGCUUUAAAGUUUGUGCAACAAGCUGUUGGGUUAAGGGGCUAUGCUCAACGAGACCCCCUUAUCGAAUAUAAACUUGAGGGAUAUAAUCUUUUCUUGGAUAUGAUGGCUCAAAUCCGGAGAAAUGUUAUUUAUUCUGUAUAUCAGGUGUCACCCCCCUCGAUGGUCGAGGCGCCAGCACUACUGCCGGUGGAGGGGAAGAAUCGGGGUAAAUUGGCGGCAGGAGGGUAA
rnacentral:rRNA from 1 species